AACGAACGCUGGCGGCAGGCCUAACGCAUGCAAGUCGAGCGCCCCGCCAGGGGAGCGGCGGCCGGGUGAGUAACGCGUGGGAACGUACCCUUUGCUACGGAAUAGCCUCGGGAAACUGGGAGUAAUACCGUAUGUGUCCUUCGGGAGAAAGAUUUAUCGGCAAGGGAUCGGCCCGCGUUGGAUUAGGUAGUUGGUGGGGUAAUGGCCUACCAAGCCGACGAUCCAUAGCUGGUUUGAGAGGAUGAUCAGCCACACUGGGACUGAGACACGGCCCAGACUCCUACGGGAGGCAGCAGUGGGGAAUCUUAGACAAUGGGCGCAAGCCUGAUCUAGCCAUGCCGCGUGAGCGAUGAAGGCCUUAGGGUUGUAAAGCUCUUUCAGGGGGGAAGAUAAUGACUGUACCCCCAGAAGAAGCCCCGGCUAACUCCGUG
rnacentral:rRNA from 1 species